AUUGAACGCUGGCGGCAUGCUUUACACAUGCAAGUCGAACGGCAGCACGAAAGAGCUUGCUCUUUUGGUGGCGAGUGGCGAACGGGUGAGUAAUGCAUCGGAACGUACCGAGUAAUGGGGGAUAACUGUCCGAAAGGAUAGCUAAUACCGCAUACGCUUUGAGAAGGAAAGUGGGGGCUCUUCGGACCUCACGUUAUUCGAGCGGCCGAUGUCUGAUUAGCUAGUUGGUGGGGUAAAGGCCUACCAAGGCGACGAUCAGUAGCGGGUCUGAGAGGAUGAUCCGCCACACUGGGACUGAGACACGGCCCAGACUCCUACGGGAGGCAGCAGUGGGGAAUUUUGGACAAUGGGCGCAAGCCUGAUCCAGCCAUGCCGCGUGUCUGAAGAAGGCCUUCGGGUUGUAAAGGACUUUUGUUAGGGAAGAAAAGGAUAGUGUUAAUACCAUUAUCUGCUGACGGUACCUAAGGAAUAAGCACCGGCUAACUACGUG
rnacentral:rRNA from 1 species